UAAUACGUAGGUGGCGAGCGUUACUCGGAAUUACUAGGCGUAAAGCGCAGGUAGGCGGUCUGACAAGUCCGUGAUGAAAUCUCCCGGCUUAACUGGGAGGGGUUUAAGGAUACUGUCGGGCUGGAGUGUGGGAGAGGUAACUGGAAUUCCUGGUGUAGCGGUGAAAUGCGUAGAGAUCAGGAGGAACACCUAUGGCGAAAGCAGGUUACUGGCCCAAUACUGACGCUGAGCUGCGAAAGCUAGGGGAGCAAACAGGAUUAGAUACCCUGGUAGUCCUAGCCAUAAACGAUGUAGACCAGACGUGGGGGGUAUCGACCCCCUCCGCGCCGAACUUAACGGAUUAAGUCUACCGCCUGGGGAGUACGGCCGCAAGGUUG
rnacentral:rRNA from 1 species